GACGUAGGAUGCAAGCGUUGUUCGGAUUUAUUGGGCGUAAAGCGUGCGUAGGCGGUCGGUUAAGUCUGGUGUGAAAUUCGGAGGCUCAACCUCGCGAGUGCACUGGAAACUGGCCGACUGGAGUCCGGUAGGGGGGGUUGGAAUUCCCAGUGUAGCGGUGAAAUGCGUAGAUAUUGGGAGGAACACCGGUGGCGAAAGCGAACCCCUGGGCCGGUACUGACGCUGAGGCACGAAGGCGUGGGGAGCAAACGGG
rnacentral:rRNA from 1 species